CCGCAUUAAUUUUUAAAUUAUUGUUUUGAAUUUUAUUAUAAAAUUCAAAACAUUUUAAAUUAAAAAAAUAGUGUAGCAAUAAGUUUUGUAUUACUAUUGGAUCUGUGUAUCGUCCAUCGAAGUUAGAGUGAUUUUCAGCAAUAAGUUUAGUGGACAAUAAGAGAAAAGUCUGUCACUAAUGUUAAAUAUGUACACUAAUCUGUUAUCACAGCAAGAUCGUAAAAAGUUGUUUUGGCACCCCUCCCCCCACGUGACACCUACUCGUGCCAGCCCUGCAUACAGCCUAUGCUGAUGUAACCUUGAAGUUGUGUGAGAGGCCAAGGAAUUUAGAUGUAAAGUACUUACACACUAAUCUGGCUUUAGUCAAUAUACUACAAGAAUUGAUAAUAAAAAUAACUUUCAGAAGAUUGCCAAUACUUUCUUCCUGCCAUCUUUAAAAUGUUUGAAAAAUUAAUUUACUGUGAAUUAGUGAAAUAAAAACGUUGUUUAAGAAGAAUUUUUACUACAUUUAUAAAGUGUUACUUUAUAAGGCAUAAAAUUAGCAGUAUUUUUUGUUUGACAAUUUUGCUGUUUUCACAAUUUUUUAAACCCAAUCACUUUUGUUUCAAUUCAAUUUAUUAAAAAGUAAAAAAUAGUUUUAGUCUUCAACAGUUAAAAUUAUUUUGUAAACUUCGUAAAAGAAACUGUCAUUGCUCUAGCAUAAAUCGAGAUCUACCUGAUGAAAGAUGGUAUUAUUUAUAUAUGUGAUAAUUAAUAAAAGACAAUUAGUUUUUAAAUGAUCAGAUGAAUGCUGGCCUUUAUUAUAUGGCUUGUUGUGUAUUAUAUUUUGUGCAUAGUUAAUGUAACAAUCAGUCUCUUUGUUUCAAAAAUAAAAUUUAUGUUUCGCAUAGUAAAUUGGGUUUUCUUACUCUUUUGCAUUUCCUUCGUUUUUGUUAAAUAUUGUUUUGUAAAAUUUAUUAUCUCUCUGAUAUAAUAUGAGUGUGCAGCCGAUAUUUUUUUAAUUCUCAUUUUAUAUUUUUUAUAAAUGA